UACAGAGGUCCCAAGCGUUGUUCGGAUUCACUGGGCGUAAAGGGUGCGUAGGUGGCAGGGUAAGUCGGAUGUGAAAUCUCCGAGCUCAACUCGGAAAUGGCAUUGGAAACUACCCAGCUCGAGGGUUGGAGGGGGGACUGGAAUGCUUGGUGUAGCAGUGAAAUUCGUAGAUAUCAAGCGGAACACCAGUGGCGAAGGCGAGUCCCUGGACAACUCCUGACACUGAGGCACGAAAGCUAGGGGAGCAAACAGG
rnacentral:rRNA from 1 species